AGGGCGCAAGGGGAAUGCCUUGGCACUGAGAGCCGACGAAGGACGCGACAAGCUGCGAUAAGCUACGGGGAGCCGCAAAUGGGCUUUGAUCCGUGGAUUUCCGAAUGGGGAAACCCGAUGGAGCAAUACUCCAUCAACCAUGACUGAAUACAUAGGUCAUGGUGGGGAACCGCCUGAACUGAAACAUCUAAGUAGGGCGAGGAAGAGAAAUCAACCGAGAUUCCGCUAGUAGUGGCGAGCGAACGCGGAAGAGGCCAAACCGGAGGUAGCAAUAUUUCCGGGGUUAGGACUGCAAUAUGUAACUUUAAUCUUUAACUGAAUGCUUUGGGAAGAGCAGCGAUACAGGGUGAUAGCCCCGUAAGUGAAAAGGAUUGAGUGCUAGCAGUAUCCAGAGUACCAGCGGACACGUGAAACCCGCUGGGAAGAUGGGGGGACCAUCCUCCAAGCCUAAAUACUACUCAGUGACCGAUAGUGGAGCAGUACCGUGAGGGAAAGGUGAAAAGUACCCCGGGAGGGGAGUGAAAGAGAACCUGAAACCUUGUGCCUACAAGCACCGAGAGCACGUUAAAGUGUGAUCGGGUACUUUUUGUAGAACGGUCCGGCGAGUUAAUAUUUGCAGCGAGGUUAAGUAACUGGAGUUACGGAGCCGCAGCGAGAGCGAGUCUGAAUAGGGCGUAUGAAGUUGCAGGUAUUAGACCCGAAACCGGGUGACCUAUCCAUGAGCAGGCUGAAGCGGUGGUAAGACACCGUGGAGGGCCGCACCCACGUCUGUUGAAAAAGCCGGGGAUGACUUGUGGAUAGCGGAGAAAUUCCAAUCGAACUCGGAGAUAGCUGGUUCUCCCCGAAAUAGCUUUAGGGCUAGCGUUAUUUUAGAUUACCGGAGGUAAAGCACUGAAUGGUCUAGGGGCCGCGAGGUUACCAAAGCCUAUCAAACUCUGAAUGCCGGAUAAUUGAUGAAUAGCAGUCAGACUGUGUGAGAUAAGUCUCAUAGUCAAAAGGGAAACAGCCCAGAUCUACAGCUAAGGUCCCAAAUGAACACUAAGUGGAAAAUGAUGUGAAACUGCGAAGACAACCAGGAUGUUGGCUUAGAAGCAGCCACUCAUUCAAAGAGUGCGUAAUAGCUCACUGGUCGAGUGGUUUUGCGCAGAAAAUGUAACGGGGCUAAGUGUUCAACCGAAGCUUAGGCAUUGCAGUAAUGCAUUGGGUAGGGGAGCGUCGUAUGCGGGGCGAAGUCAGAGCGGAAGCACUGGUGGACUGCAUACGAGUGAGAAUGCCGGAAUAAGUAGCGAGAAUUAUGUGAGAAUCAUAAUGGCCGAAAAUCUAAGGUUUCUUGGGGAAGGUUCGUCCGCCCAAGGUUAGUCGGGAGCUAAGCUCAGGCCGAAAGGCGUAGGCGAUGCACAUACGGUAGAAAUUCCGUAACCACCGAACAUUUAAGCUAGAGGGACGCUUUCUUUAAGGUUAUCCCGGGCGAUGGUUGCCCCGGGCGUAAGGGACCGAAAUUUAGUAGGGAAGUAACUGGCGAGAGAGACGAGAAAAGCUCUAGUGUAUACUAAGGUGCCCGUACCGCAAACCGACACAGGUAGAUGGGAUGAGUAUUCUAAGGCCAACGGGAGAAGGGUUGUUAAGGAACUCGGCAAAUUGGCCCCGUAACUUCGGGAUAAGGGGCGCCUGCGAGAGCAGGCCGCAGUGAAAAGGCCCAAGCGACUGUUUAGCAAAAACACAGCUCUCUGCUAAAUCGAAAGAUGACGUAUAGGGGGUGACGCCUGCCCGGUGCUGGAAGGUUAAGGGGAGUGCUUAGCGCAAGCGAAGGUGCGAACUUAAGCCCCAGUAAACGGCGGCCGUAACUAUAACGGUCCUAAGGUAGCGAAAUUCCUUGUCAGGUAAGUUCUGACCCGCACGAAUGGCGUAACGAUUUGGGCACUGUCUCAACAGCCCGCCCGGCGAAAUUGUAGUACCGGUGAAGAUGCCGGUUUCCCGCAACUAGACGGAAAGACCCCAUGGAGCUUCACUGUAGCUUGAUAUUGGACUUCGGUAUUCCAUGUACAGGAUAGGUGGGAGACUUGGAAGUAAGCGCGCCAGCGUUUAUGGAGU
rnacentral:rRNA from 1 species